rnacentral:rRNA from 1 species
UACGUAGGGGGCGAGCGUUACCCGGAAUUACUGGGCGUAAAGGGUGCGUAGGCGGCCUUGCAAGUCCGGUGUUAAAAGCCCUGGCUCAACUAGGGAGAUGCGCUGGAAACUGUAAGGCUUGGGUGCAGCAGAGGCAGAUGGAACUGCUGGUGUAGGGGUGAAAUCCGUAGAUAUCAGCAGGAACGCCGGUGGAGAAGUCGGUCUGCUGGGCUGUGACCGACGCUGAGGCACGAAAGCUAGGGGAGCGAACCGG